AGUGAACGCUGGCGGUAGGCCUAACACAUGCAAGUCGAACGGCAGCACAGUAAGAGCUUGCUCUUACGGGUGGCGAGUGGCGGACGGGUGAGGAAUACAUCGGAAUCUACUUUUUCGUGGGGGAUAACGUAGGGAAACUUACGCUAAUACCGCAUACGACCUACGGGUGAAAGAAGGGGAUCUUCGGACCUUGCGCGAUUGCAUGAGCCGAUGUCGGUUUAGCUAGUUGGCGGGGUAAAGGCCCACCCAGGCGGCGAUCCGUAGCUGGUCUGAGAGGAGGAUCGGCCACACUGGAACGGGGACACGGUCCAGACGCCUACGAGAGGCAGCAGUGGGGAAUAUUGGACAAUAGGCGCAAGCCUGAUCCAGCCAUACCGCGUGGGUGGAGAAGGCCUUCGGGUUGUAAAGCCCUUUUGUUGGGAAAGAAAAGCAGCAGGUUAAUACCCCGCUGUUCUGACGGUACCCAAAGAAUAAGCACCGGCUAACUUCGUG
rnacentral:rRNA from 1 species